ACUCAAAGGAAUUGACGGGGGCCCGCACAAGCGGUGGAGCAUGUGGAUUAAUACGUCAUUAACCGUAGAACCUUACCCAGGCUUGACAUCUCCGGAACCCGGGUGAAAGCUCGGGGUGCCCCGCAAGGGGAGCCGGAAGACAGGUGUUGCAUGGCUGUCGUCAGCUCGUGUCGUGAGAUGUUGGGUUAAGUCCCGCAACGAGCGCAACCCUCACCGUAUGUUGCCAGCGUCAAGUCGGGCACUCUUACGGAACUGCCCGGGUAACCGGGAGGAAGGUGGGGACGACGUCAAGUCAGCAUGGCCCGUACGCCUGGGGCUUCACACAUGCUACAAUGGCCGGUACAGAGGGCGCCGAUACCGUGAGGUGGAGGAAAUCCCAAAAAGCCGGUCUCAGUUCGGAUCGCAGGCUGCAACUCGCCUGCGUGAAGUCGGAAUCGCUAGUAAUUGCCGGUCAGCUAAACGGCAGUGAAUACGUUCCCGGGCCUUGUACACACCGCCCGU
rnacentral:rRNA from 1 species